rnacentral:rRNA from 1 species
AGGGGUAACAUUGUGCUUGCACAGAUGACGACCGGCGAACGGGUGCGUAACGCGUAUAGAAUCUACCUCUUACUAAGGGAUAGCCCAGAGAAAUUUGGAUUAAGACCUUAUAGUAUAUAUGACUGGCAUCAGUUUUAUAUUAAAGAUUACGGUAAGAGAUGACUAUGCGUCCUAUUAGCUAGAUGGUGUGGUAACGGCACACCAUGGCAACGAUAGGUAGGGGCCCUGAGAGGGGGAUCCCCCACACUGGUACUGAGACACGGACCAGACUCCUACGGGAGGCAGCAGUGAGGAAUAUUGGACAAUGGAGGCAACUCUGAUCCAGCCAUGCCGCGUGCAGGAUGACUGCCCUAUGGGUUGUAAACUGCUUUUAUACAGGAAGAAACCAUCUCACGUGUGAGAUCUUGACGGUACUGUAAGAAUAAGGAUCGGCUAACUCCGUGCCAGCAGCCGCGGUAAUACGGAGGAUCCAAGCGUUAUCCGGAAUCAUUGGGUUUAAAGGGUCCGUAGGUGGAUAAUUAAGUCAGAGGUGAAAUCCUGCAGCUCAACUGUAGAAUUGCCUUUGAUACUGGUUAUCUUGAGUUAUUAUGAAGUAGUUAGAAUAUGUAGUGUAGCGGUGAAAUGCAUAGAUAUUACAUAGAAUACCAAUUGCGAAGGCAGAUUACUAAUAAUAUACUGACACUGAUGGACGAAAGCGUGGGGAGCGAACAGGAUUAGAUA